GGGAAGGUGGCUCAGUGGUAGAGUGCUUGCCUUGCAUGCAUGAGGCCCUGGGUUCGAUUCCUCAGCACCCCA
rfam:Dipodomys ordii contig_8720, whole genome shotgun sequence.